rnacentral:rRNA from 1 species
AGGGAAAGGCGAAAAGAACCCCGGCGAGGGGAGUGAAAAAGAACCUGAAACCGUGUACGUACAAGCAGUGGGAGCCCCACCACUAAGCCAGUGGUGAACUCCACAUACGCAUCCUUUGCUGAGGAUACGGUUAACGGAGCGAAAGCGACGUUCAACCUCAAAAGAAGCAGAGGGGGCUUAGUGGUGGGGUGACUGCGUACCUUUUGUAUAAUGGGUCAGCGACUUAUAUUCUGUAGCAAGGUUAACCGAAUAGGGGAGCCGGAGGGAAACCGAGUCUUAAUUGGGCGUUAAGUUGCAGGGUAUAGACCCGAAACCCGGUGAUCUAGCCAUGGGCAGGUUGAAGGUUGGGUAACACUAACUGGAGGACCGAACCGACUAAUGUUGAAAAAUUAGCGGAUGACCUGUGGCUGGGGGUGAAAGGCCAAUCAAACCGGGAGAUAGCUGGUUCUCCCCGAAAGCUAUUUAGGUAGCGCCUCGUGAAUUCAUCUCCGGGGGUAGAGCACUGUUUCGGCUAGGGGGUCAUCCCGACUUACCAACCCGAUGCAAACUGCGAAUACCGGAGAAUGUUAUCACGGGAGACACACGGCGGGUGCUAACGUCCGUCGUGAAGAGGGAAACAACCCAGACCGCCAGCUAAGGUCCCAAAGUCAUGGUUAAGUGGGAAACGAUGUGGGAAGGCCCAGACAGCCAGGAUGUUGGCUUAGAAGCAGCCAUCAUUUAAAGAAAGCGUAAUAGCUCACUGGUCGAGUCGGCCUGCGCGGAAGAUGUAACGGGGCUAAACCAUGCACCGAAGCUGCGGCAGCGACACUGUGUGUUGUUGGGUAGGGGAGCGUUCUGUAAGCCGUUGAAGGUGUGUCGUGAGGCAUGCUGGAGGUAUCAGAAGUGCGAAUGCUGACAUAAGUAACGAUAAUGCGGGUGAAAAACCCGCACGCCGGAAGACCAAGGGUUCCUGUCCAACGUUAAUCGGGGCAGGGUGAGUCGACCCCUAAGGCGAGGCCGAAAGGCGUAGUCGAUGGGAAACGGGUUAAUAUUCCCGUACUUGGUGUUACUGCGAAGGGGGGACGGAGAAGGCUAUGUUGGCCGGGCGACGGUUGUCCCGGUUUAAGCGUGUAGGUGUGUGUUCCAGGUAAAUCCGGUUCACUUUAACACUGAGGCGUGAUGACGAGGCACUACGGUACUG